CAUGGCUAUCCGGGAUGCAGGUUUUGAAAUCUCAGCUAUGCAGAUGUUCAACAUGGAUCGAGUUAAUGUUGAAGAGUUUUAUGAAGUUUAUAAAGGAGUAGUGUCUGAGUAUAAUGAGAUGGUGACAGAAAUGUAUUCUGGCCCUUGCGUAGCAAUGGAGAUUCAAC